rnacentral:rRNA from 1 species
GUCUAUGGCCACAGGACACUGAUCCUGGAAGCUAAGCAAGGUUGGGCUUAGCCAGUACCUGGAAGGGAGACUGCCUGGGAAUACCAGGUGCUGUGGGAU